rnacentral:rRNA from 1 species
GACGAACGCUGGCGGCGUGCCUAAUACAUGCAAGUAGAACGCUGAAGCUUGGUGCUUGCACCGAGCGGAUGAGUUGUGAACGGGUGAGUAACGCGUAGGUAACCUGCCUGGUAGCGGGGGAUAACUAUUGGAAACGAUAGCUAAUACCGCAUAAGAGUAGAUGUUGCAUGACAUUUGCUUAAAAGGUGCAAUUGCAUCACUACCAGAUGGACCUGCGUUGUAUUAGCUAGUUGGUGAGGUAACGGCUCACCAAGGCAACGAUACAUAGCCGACCUGAGAGGGUGAUCGGCCACACUGGGACUGAGACACGGCCCAGACUCCUACGGGAGGCAGCAGUAGGGAAUCUUCGGCAAUGGACGGAAGUCUGACCGAGCAACGCCGCGUGAGUGAAGAAGGUUUUCGGAUCGUAAAGCUCUGUUGUAAGAGAAGAAACGAGUGUGAGAGUGGAAAAGUUCACAGUGUGACCGG